GUCCUGAGGUGGUGGAGUUGGCGGAGGCUCUGAGGUGAUGGAGACGGCAGAGGGCCUGAGUCAGGAAACAGGAAGGCAUCUUCCUUUAAAACAUUACAGAAAUUUUGUGUAGACCCAUAUAAACUGAUGCCAUGGAUCCUCAGGUUAGGUUACCAUCCCAAGGUCUGAGCCAGAUUUGGAACUUGGAAUCUGACAGCCAUGAGAGUGACUUAGUCCCUGAGCCAAGUCAGGUUUUUACUGCAGUAAAGGAAUCAACUGAGAGCUCAGCUUUCUCACUUCAAGAAUACUGCUUUCUGACGUAGUAAGU